UUGACUUAACACCGAGAUGCGCAGACAGCACGUGGUAUGACAUCAAGUACCGCGAGAGUUUGGGAAAGCCCCGGAAAAGGUUUGAACUCGAGGUACUGAUGUCACGAUCGGUUUGCGAGUAGAUCAGCAUGAAGUCAAACACAUCUGAGAGAUGUGUGGGCUGCCUGCACUCAACGUUGGGAUCAUUCAAUAGAGUGUAACCUCAAUCGGUUUUUGCAGCUUCUGGGUCCCGUGUAGAACGAUUUUUUGUUCUUUUCCAACUCGAUUUUUAACUCCCUAAACUAGUAGGAUGUUCCAACGGGUGAAGCAACAGUGCUGACGGCAGUUUCAGUGUCAAGUUUUCAUGCCAUGACCACUGGGGCGGAAACCAUUAUGACAUUGCCUUGGACAUCAAACUAAACCAUUCUGGCUUUUGAGGUGGAUUCUAACCUCGAAAUCUCAGAAGGACAGGUGUAAGAUGGACGCAGCCUCCAUAGGAUGCAACCUUGCAUUUGAGAAACAUCCAUAGAACGGUCAACUUACCCCAUACUCUAACCUGAAUGCAGGGAUCAUAAAACUUUAUCUUUUACCUUAAUUGUUAGAUGGGUGUUGAAACCAAACUUUUUUUCUCGUCUACCCAGGAGAAAGUCAUGGUGUUCUGCUGCUAAGCGUCUUUUAUUCUGCUUACCUGACUCAUGCAGAAUUCUGGCUUGAUGUUUGGUCCACCUGUUAGCUGGCUCUGGUGCUUGGUAGUCUUCUCAAACCUCUGAAUCAAGACCACCAUGAGAGGCCUUCUGAAGACCAUCAUUACGCUUCAGAUCCAGUUGUCUUUACUUUGAGCCUACCACAAUCCCUGUGCACCAGCUAUGGAAAGUGCAGACCAAACUUCUACCUCCACCUAUAGAACUGAACUGGAGUCUAUGAACUAAUGCUGUGUUCGAGACAACUUGGAUGUUGGAUAUUAUUGACCUUAAACCCGUAAGAAGUCAGGAACAGGAAACAAAGUGGAGUAUCCGACCUCUCAACUUGGACCAGAUCGAUCAACACCGACCUCAACGAGAUGCGUCAUUUGACAUUGCAGACAAGGUGGUGGCUAGCCUUUCACAGCCUUACAUGAACCGCAAACAAACUUUAAACAGCACGUAAUAUAGAUGAACAUGAAUGUUAAAUUAUCCAGUAACCGUUUUCUGCCAUAAUUGGCACAAGAGCACAAACUUCUAGGGAUGCAGCGAUUAACCGGUUUCACU